rnacentral:rRNA from 1 species
AAACUUUCAACAACGGAUCUCUUGGUUCUGGCAUCGAUGAAGAACGCAGCGAAAUGCGAUAAGUAAUGUGAAUUGCAGAAUUCAGUGAAUCAUCGAAUCUUUGAACGCACAUUGCGCCCGCUGGCAUUCCGGCGGGCAUGCCUGUUCGAGCGUCAUUUCAACCCUCAAGCCCCCGGGGCUUGGUGUUGGGGCGCCCGGCCGCACGGCCGGGGCCCCCAAGUGCAUCGGCGGGCUCGCCUGGACCCUGAGCGCAGUAGCUUUAUUCCGCUCGGAGCGCCCUCGGCGGGGACCCGGCCGCUAAACCCCCAACUAUAUCUAAAG